AACGAACGUUGGCGGCGCGCCUAACACAUGCAAGUCGCACGAGAAAGGGAGCAAUCCCCGGUACAGUGGCGCACGGGUGAGUAACACGUGGAUAACUUUCCCUCGAGCGGGGGAUAACCUUCCGAAAGGAGGGCUAAUACCGCAUAAGACCACGGCUGGUUCGCCAGCUGAGGUUAAAGCAGGCCUCUUCAUGAAAGCUUGCACUCGAGGAUGGGUCCGCGGCCCAUCAGCUAGUUGGUGGUGUAAUGGACCACCAAGGCUAAGACGGGUAACUGGUCUGAGAGGAUGAUCAGUCACACUGGAACUGAGACACGGUCCAGACUCCUACGGGAGGCAGCAGUGGGGAAUCUUGCGCAAUGGACGAAAGUCUGACGCAGCGACGCCGCGUGGGUGAUGAAGGCCUUCGGGUUGUAAAGCCCUGUGGGGAGGGACGAAUAAGUCUGACCUAAUACGUCAGGCGAUGACGGUACCUCCUUAGCAAGCACCGGCUAACUCUGUGCCAGCAGCCGCUGUAAGAC
rnacentral:rRNA from 1 species